rnacentral:rRNA from 1 species
GCGAAAGCUAUGGGAGCAAACGGGAUUAGAAACCCCGGUAGUCCUAGCCGUAAACGAUGGAUGCUAGGUGUAGGGGGUAUAGAUUCCCUCUGUGCCAAAGCUAACGCGUUAAGCAUCCCGCCUGGGGAGUACGGCCGCAAGGCUAAAACUCAAACGAAUUGACGGGGGCCCGCACAAGCAGCGGAGCGUGUGGUUUAAUUCGAUGCAACACGAAGAACCUUACCUGGGCUUGACAUGCANGUAGUANUGAAGCGAAAGCGGAACGACCCUUCGGGGAGCCUACACAGGUGCUGCAUGGCUGUCGUCAGCUCGUGCCGUGAGGUGUCGGGUUAAGUCCCGUAACGAGCGCAACCCUCGCCCUUAGUUAUACGUGUCUAAGGGGACUGCCCGGGAUAACUGGGAGGAAGGUGGGGAUGACGUCAAGUCAGCAUGGCCUUUAUGU